GGCUCGUUAGGCGAAUUGGUAUAGCCGUCUGUCUUAGGUAUAGAAGUUUGGGGGUUCAAGUCCCUCACGAGCUA
rnacentral:tRNA from 1 species